rnacentral:tRNA from 9 species
UCUCGGGCAGACCAUCUGGUUGAGUCACUACCCUUUCAAGGUAGGAUUAGCGGGUUCAAUUCCCGUCCCGAGAACCA